AGCAUAAGUGAUAAUCUGAAGUAUUUGUUCUAUGUGCCAUUGGAAUUCUGUCAGAAAUCGAGCUUUGGUCGAUUUCGCGUAUUCUGUUUCAUUCCUUUGGAUAUUGAAUUCUUCUAACCUUCUUAUUUGAAUUGAGCUAAAUAUGAUUGCUUGGAUUCCCUGUAUACUCUUGCUUCCAUUUCAUUCCUAAUAUGAAUACAUUUGUGAGAGAUUUGUUCUUUGCAUCAUAUUGUCUUGAAAAGCCACAUGUACGUUUUGUUGUUCCGCGUGUACUUCCGAUAUAUGCUACUUAUUGUUAAAACUGCCCUCUUGUACUCUGGUGUGUGGGAUUGUCUGGACCUUUGCCAGAAAUGGUAAAGGGUAUGUGCUUAUUGCCCGCUCUGUGGGAUAUUCUGGACCUUUGCCAGAAAUGGUAAAAGGUAUGUGCUUAGAGCCUGCGAUGCUCUGUCGGCCCCCUCUGACUUCACCGAGACGUGGGUGGAUGGAGCUCCCAAACGUGGGAGACUUUUGUCAGGUCGUCAUUCAGAAAUGGAUGAAUCACAUUCUGACUGAGAUCCCACUACACCUUCUAUAUGUUUGUUAUGACAUCCAGAGUUUCGGUGAGUUGUUUCUGUUCAUGCUCUGGAUAAGAAUGAUAUGAUUGCAACGUCAAGGACGACGUUUGAGCUUCUGUACGAUAUUUGUUUUUGAUAUGCUCUGAAAUGCUUCAUUCACUGAUGAUUUUGUUUCGAAAUGUUCCAUAUGUCGUUGAUAUGCUUCGGAACAUUUUAUAUGACUUUGAUAAGCUUCGAUAUGUUUCCUUUGUUACUGAUAUGCUCUAAUUACUCUAUGCCCCAUCUGUCAGGAACCAAAUAUGUAAGAUUGAAAGGACAAUUGUGUUUCUGCUCCUAAUGAUAUUAUGUCCACGAAAUCGUAUAUUCUGCCUUGUAUUUUGAAACUGUAUCUCUUUGGAAAUUGUCCUGUUUUGAUAUGGAUAUGUUAGUCACUUGCUUAGCUCUAUAUGCUCACCCCGUUUGUUGAUAAAAUUUUCAGGAUAGUGUAUCGCUUGC
rnacentral:lncRNA from 1 species